ensembl:snRNA U6 U6 spliceosomal RNA
UCACUUCUGCAAUGCAUAUACCAAAAUUGGAACGAUACAGAGAAGAUUGGCAUGGUCCCUGCACAGCGAGGACAAAACUGGCUUAGAUCAGCUUGGUGGUGACACUAUUUA